GAGAACCUACCUACCUAAAAUCUGGCCCUUCACAGAAGUGUGCUGACUGCUAGCCUGGAAAUAUCUCCAUGUGUUUACUCUAAUUUCUUAUUUAUCUGUUGUUACCUGUAUAACCUUCUAGAACUCCACUGAUACUGCAUUUGCUAAGGUGGACUAAGACCUCCUAACUAAACCUAAUAAACAUCUUUCAGUCCUUUUGAUAUAGGAGUUAGAAAGAAAUUAUUUAAGCAACUGCUGCAAUCUCACUGUGACUCUAUUGAAGGGCACAGCAAGGGAGAAUGGCAAUAAAUUAUUUAGGAAAUACGUGUUCAGGGUGGAGCACAGAUAGCAUCGUACAUCAAGGAAAGAAGUUUAGGCUUUAUUUUGUAGGCAAUGGGACAGAGUAAUGUUUUUCAGCUUACGGUGACCUGCUCAGACUAGAGUUUUAUGGAAAUCAAUCCUGUAGCAACUAAUGUCCCUGAUGUAUUUUGUUUGAUCUAUACACAACACAAUAUAGCAUAUUUACAUUUCAUUUCUUCUAAAUAAACUCAGUACUCCAUAAAAAUUUAUUCUAUACUUGUGUACUUUUCAUAUUUUCACUACUCUCAAGUCAAUUCCUUGAGGAGAAAGAGUUCUAGAAAAUAUCACUGAGUUUUUUUACAUGAAAAAAUUAUUAUAAAAUAUACAUUGCUUCACUUAACUUUAUGCUUACAAGUUUAUGACUAGUAGGCUUAACUUUUCCAUUGGAAAAAAAUCAAGAUUAUUAUAUAUGAUGACAUGAAUUUUGUAACUGCCCAGUGGGUUCUUCCCACUGCACACACAAAAUCAACUCACUUUGACCAUGGCAUUGCAAUAAAAAAGAGUUUCAUUGAUACAAGGCCAGCCGUGCCACACAGGAGAUGGAGUUAUUACUUAAAUCGAUCUCCCCAAAGGCUUGGAGGCUAGGGGUUUUUCAAAGAUAGUUCGGUGGGCAGGGGGCUAGGAUGGAGGCAUGCUGAUUGGUUGGGUUGGAGAUAAAAUCAAAGGGAAUGAAAGCUAUCCUCUUGUGCUGAGUCAGUUCUUGGGUGGGAAUCACAGGGCUGGUUGGUGAGUCUAGGUGGGGCCGUCCUGUUGUCAGAAUUGCAAAAAUCUGAAAAGAUAUCUGAAAAGGCCAAUCUUAGGUUCUGCAACAGUGAUGUUAUCUGCAGGAUUAACUGGAGAAAGUAUGAAACUUAUAACCUCCGGAAUAAUGGCUGGUAAUUAUUGAGAAUUUAAGCCCCUCUUAUCCUCCUGACUUGGUAGUCUUUCAUUUGAUUUAUAAGAACCGGUUAGUUUUGGGAAGGGCUAUUAUCAUUUAAACUACAAACUAAAUUUCUCCCAAAGUUAGCUUGGCCCAUAUGCAGAAGUGGACAAAGACAGCCAGUCUCUUAAGGCUCGAAGCAAAAUGGAGUCAGAUGUCUCUUUCUGUCAUAAUUUUGCAAAGACAGUUUCAAUUUGAGCUAGAAGAAUGAAUGUUCUUUCUCAACAAUAGAGAACAUGCUUGAUGGUAUUAUUUAAUAUAACUACACUUAAAUUUUAUUUUCUUAUUCGUUAAACAAUCAAACAGCUUUAUAAGACAUGAUAAAAGCAGCCAUCCCCUAGUUCCUUCUUCACCCCUGAUCUGUGAUCUCCAGAGGAAAUGAUGUUCAAUUCAUCUUUAUGGUAUUUAUCAAAUUCCUCAAUGAUAAUAUAGAAUAUUAUUUCUUAGUUUUUUCAAUAUUAGUAUCUACUGACUUCAUACUAUGGAAGAUGAGGAUUGAGUUCUAUAAUGUACCCUUUCCUAUAUUUACCCACUGUAGUUAUUGAUUUUUUGAUUAAUAUUCCAUUUGACAUCAUGAUUUGCAUAUGAUAAUCCAUAGCUGAACCACACACUCAUUAGUGAAGGAAGCAUUUUUUUGUGUAACACUUUCGUUGCUUCACUUUAAUCAAGUCCUAUUGCUUGUUUAAUUCCUUUCUUAUGUACCUUCCACUGAUUUUUGCCCAAACUCCCACCCAUUUGUCUAAAUAAAACUCCCCACAACCUGUUCAUAAACAGCAAGCAAAUGUGAUUGUUUUGUUUCUUAGAAGAAUCCUUCUAGAGUCCUUGGAUACCAUUGCUCUAAUUGGGAAAAUUUGCUUCCUGGGCCAGCUUCUCUUCAUUAUCCUAGGAUUUCCUUUCACCAUCAUCUCAGGAAUUCACUUCACUCCACCCUAAAGUCGGAUUUCCUGUUUCCCAGAAAACAGUUCAUACUUCUUUCUUUCUUGGUUUACAAGUUUACUUCAGAUAAAUUAUUUCCUCGAAAAGGCAAGAAUCAAGUUGCUGCAGACAAAUAUGGAUUCAUCCCUGCUGACAUACUUUGGUGCUGUUAUUACCAAAACACCAGGGGUUCGGUCUAGGUUCUGCUACUUGCCACACAGAAAGCCAUGCACUGAGAUGACAACUAUUGACGAGGAAGAAGACUUUAAUCAGGUUGGACACCUAAUUUGCACAUCAGGACCACUGUGGACCAUGGGGCAAUGAAGGUGAAGACUGGAGCACUCAUCACCCAAGGUGGCAUCCCAAAGCCUCUCCAGUCUACUGAAGGAAUACCCCCAGUUUACCAUGGACAGGGUCUCACUGUGUUGCCCGGGCUGGAGUAUAGUGCCCUGAUCGCAGCUUGCUGCAACCUCAAGUUCCCACGCUCAAGCAAUCUUCCUGCCUCAACUUUCCAAGUAGCUGAGACCACAGGCAUGCUCCAUGACACCGGAACUUCUGAAUUCAAGCGAUCCUCCUGCCUCAGCCUUCCAAAGUGCUGGAAUUACAGGCAUGAGCCACUGAAUCCUGCCUGCCCUCUGUUUCUAUGUGGUAUUUGUCUUUCUAUGCCUGACCUAUUUCAUGUAACAUAAUUUCCUCCAGAUUCAUCCAUAUUGUCCCAAAUGACCAGAUUUCUUUCUUUUUUAAGGCUGAAUACUAUUCCAUUGUGUAUACAUACUAUAUUUUCUUUAUCUAUUCAUCUGUUGAUGGACACUUAGAUUGAUUCCAUAUCUUGGCUAUUGUGAAUAAGCUGCAAUGAACUUAGAAGUGCAGAUACUGCUUUGACAUAUUCAUUUCAUUUUCUUUGGCUAUAUAUCCAGAAGUGGAAUUGGGCUGGAAUAUUUUUAAUAUUUUGAGGAAACUCCAUAUUACUUUCCAUAAUAGCUGUGCUAAUUUACAUUUCCACCACGAAUGUAUAAGGGCUUCCUUUUCUCCACAUCCCCUCCAACACUGGUUAUCUGUCUUUUUGAUAUGUUUUCUCUUCUCUGUAAAGCUGUUGAUUGUAGCAAUUUAGUUUUUCCAAAAUUUUUUAAAUCAAACUUUUGAAACAUAUAGCUGAAAUGAAACAAUUUUAGCAUGAAUGCUAAUAUACACCCAGCACCUAUAUUCUUGCUUUUCCACGUAUUUACUCCCGAAUUAAUAUAUUACUUGUAUGCUUUUGUAAGUAAACUGCAAACAAGUACAUGCUUCUCCUAGAUCCUUCCACAUGCUCUGCCAUUAACUAGAGUUCAAUGUUUAAUUUUUUCCUUUUGAUGUACAAUUAAUACACAAUUAAUCUACACACACAUUUUACUUAGUUCUGAAAAAUGUGUACACUUGUAUAACUCAAAGUCCAUCAUUAUAGAAGAUUACUAUCACCCUAGCAAAAUCUUUCAUGUCCCUUCUCAAUCACCAAUCCUGACCACACCCCAAGAAAACUACUGUUCAAAUUUUUCUCCAUCAUUGAUUGGCUUUGACUGUUUUAGAACUUCAUAAAAAUAAAAUACUGUAGUGAAGUAUAUAUAAUUUUAUGACUAGCUUCCUUUGCUCAACACAAUGUUUUUGAGAUUUAUUCGUAUUGCUGCAUGUCAAUAGCUGGUUCUUUUUAUUGCUGCAUAUUUCAUUGAAUAAAAAUGCCAAAGCUUGUUUAUUCA